AGGAGAAAGAAGCAAAUAGUGUGCAGAGGAAGAGAAAAUAGAGAUGUCGAAGACGCUAGUUCAGCCUGUAGGCCAAAAGAGACUUACCAAUGUUGCUGUUGUGCGUCUCAAGAAGCAUGGUAACCGUUUCGAAAUCGCUUGUUAUAAGAAUAAGGUCCUUUCAUGGCGCUCUGGCGUAGAGAAAGAUGUGGAUGAAGUGUUACAGUCACAUACUGUUUACACCAAUGUGUCAAAGGGUGUACUUGCAAAGUCUAAAGAUUUGAUUAGGGCUUUUGGAACUGAUGAUCAAACCAAAAUCUGCCUGGAGAUUUUGGACAAAGGAGAGCUACAGGUUGCAGGGAAGGAGAGAGAAUCACAGUUGUCAAGUCAGUUCAGAGAUAUUGCUACCAUAGUUAUGCAGAAGACAAUCAAUCCUGAAACUCAGCAUCCAUACACUAUUAGCAUGAUUGAACGUCUGAUGCAUGAAAUCCAUUUUGCAGUUGAUCCAAAUAGCAGCUCAAAGAAACAGGCACUGGAGGUCAUUCGGGAGCUUCAAAAGCAUUACCCCGUAAAACGUGCCCCCAUGAGGUUGAGGAUUCAUGUACCAGAACAAAGCAAUCCUUCUGUCCUGGACAAGCUUAAGGAGUGGAAUGCCUCCAUUGUGUCAAGAGAAGAAUUUGGAAGUCAGCACUCCAUUAUUUGUGAAAUUGAGCCUAGUCUUUUCCGGGACUGUGAUGCCUUAAUAAGGAAUCUACAGGGUAGAGUGGAAAUUCUUGCAGUCAAUGUACAUGUGGAGGGGGAUACUUUCGUCGAUCAGUUUGAUGAUCACGAGGAUGAUUCAUCAAGUUUAAGGAAGGAUUCUACAAGUUCAGUCCUUCAGCUGAGUGAGAAAAUGCAAAAGCAGACUAUUUCUUCAGAAAUCGGGAAUUCUAGGGAAGAACAGAAACUGAGUAAACCUGCAAAAAGUGGGAGUUCCGAGGGCGAAGUAAAACUGAACAGGUGCACUACUUGCAAUGCUGUUGUGGGAGAUUCAAAAGAAUACAGAGAGCAUUUCAAGAGUGACUGGCAUAAGCAUAACCUAAGGCGUAAAACUAGACAACUCCCUCCACUUACAGCUGAAGAAUGUGUGGCUGACCUGGAACUUGGAGACUCGAAGGCUGAUCUAAAAGAAUAUUCAUUUUGAGGUUGGAAUAAUAUUCCUUAGCUACAGACUUGUAAUUUACAUGAUUAAAGACAUGCCUAGCAAGACUUUGAGGAAAACAUAUAAUAUAGAGAAAUGGUGAUAAAGAUAUUUUGCU
rnacentral:misc_RNA from 1 species